UACGUAGGGUGCGAGCGUUAAUCGGAAUUACUGGGCGUAAAGUGUGCGCAGGCGGCAGAGCAAGUCGAGUGUGAAAGCCCCGGGCUUAACUUGGGAAUUGCGCUCGAAACUACUUUGCUGGAGUGUGGCAGAGGAAGGUGGAAUUCCACGUGUAGCGGUGAAAUGCGUAGAGAUGUGGAGGAACACCAAUGGCGAAGGCGGCGCUCUGGCUCGCAACUGACGCUCAGACACGACAGCAUGGGGAGCGAACGGG
rnacentral:rRNA from 1 species